CGCGUAGGCGGUUUUGCAAGUCAGAGGUGAAAUGUCUCGGCUCAACCGAGGACCUGCCUUUGAAACUGCAGAACUUGAGGUCGUGAGAGGAGACUGGAAUUCCUAGUGUAGCGGUGAAAUGCAUAGAUAUUAGGAAGAACACCAGUGGCGAAGGCGAGUCUCUGGCACGAAUCUGACGCUGAGGCGCGAAAGCUAGGGGAGCGAACG
rnacentral:rRNA from 1 species